CACGUAGGGUGCGAGCGUUGUCCGGAAUUAUUGGGCGUAAAGAGCUCGUAGGCGGUGUGUCGCGUCGGCCGUGAAAACCUGCAGCUUAACUGUGGGCGUGCGGUCGAUACGGGCAUCACUGGAGUUCGGCAGGGGAGACUGGAAUUCCUGGUGUAGCGGUGAAAUGCGCAGAUAUCAGGAGGAACACCGGUGGCGAAGGCGGGUCUCUGGGCCGAUACUGACGCUGAGGAGCGAAAGCGUGGGUAGCAAACGGG
rnacentral:rRNA from 1 species